UACGGAGGGGGCUAGCGUUGUUCGGAAUUACUGGGCGUAAAGCGCACGUAGGCGGCGAUUUAAGUCAGAGGUGAAAGCCCGGGGCUCAACCCCGGAAUAGCCUUUGAGACUGGAUUGCUAGAAUCUUGGAGAGGCGGGUGGAAUUCCGAGUGUAGAGGUGAAAUUCGUAGAUAUUCGGAAGAACACCAGUGGCGAAGGCGGCCCGCUGGACAAGUAUUGACGCUGAGGUGCGAAAGCGUGGGGAGCAAACAGG
rnacentral:rRNA from 1 species